UUUCCGGUUGAUCCCGCCGGACCUGACUGCUAUCGGAUUGAUACUAAGCCAUGCGAGUCUUUGCAGUAAUGCAAGGCAUACGGCUCAGUAACACGUAGUCAACUUACCCUAUGGACGAGGAUAAUCUCGGGAAACUGAGCAUAAUACUCGAUAGAUCAUAAUGCCUGGAAUGGUUUAUGGUUGAAAUGAUUCGUCGCCAUAGGAUGGGACUGCGGCCUAUCAGCUUGUUGGUGAGGUAAUGGCCCACCAAGGCGAUUACAGGUACGGGCUCUGAGAGGAGAAGCCCGGAGAUGGGUACUGAGACAAGGACCCAGGCCCUAUGGGGCGCAGCAGGCGAGAAAACUUUGCAAUGUGCGAAAGCACGACAAGGUUAAUCCGAGUGAUUUCUGCUAAAGAAAUCUUUUGCAAGUCAUAAAACCACUAGUGAAUAAGGGGUGGGCAAGUUCUGGUGUCAGCCGCCGCGGUAAAACCAGCACCUCAAGUGGUCAGGAGGAUUAUUGGGCCUAAAGCAUCCGUAGCCGGCUUUGUAAGUUUUCGGUUAAAUCCAUGUGCUCAACGCAUGGGCUGCCGAAAAUACUGCAUAGCUAGGGAGUGGGAGAGGUAGACGGUACUCGGUAGGAAGGGGUAAAAUCCUUUGAUCUAUCGAUGACCACCUGUGGCGAAGGCGGUCUACCAGAACACGUUCGACGGUGAGGGAUGAAAGCUGGGGGAGCAAACCGGAUUAGAUACCCGGGUAGUCCCAGCUGUAAACGAUGCAGACUCGAUGAUGCAUUGGCAUAUAGCCAGUGCAGUGUCGCAGGGAAGCCGUUAAGUCUGCCGCCUGGGAAGUACGUACGCAAGUAUGAAACUUAAAGGAAUUGGCGGGGGAGCACCACAAGGGGUGAAGCCUGCGGUUCAAUUGGAGUCAACGCCGGG
rnacentral:rRNA from 1 species